rnacentral:misc_RNA from 1 species
GAUGAAGAACGUAGCGAAAUGCGAUAAGUAGUGUGAAUUGCAGAAUUCAGUGAAUCAUCGAAUCUUUGAACGCACAUUGCGCCCCUUGGUAUUCCAUGGGGCAUGCCUGUUCGAGCGUCAUUUGUACCCUCAAGCUUUGCUUGGUGUUGGGUGUUUGUCCUCUCCUUUGCGUUUGGACUCGCCUUAAAGCAAUUGGCAGCCAGUGUUUUGGUAUUGAAGCGCAGCACAAUUUGCGAUUCUAACCGACUACACUUGCGUCCAUAAGCCUUUUUUAACUUUUGACCUCGGAUCAGGUAGGGAUACCCGCUGAACUUAAGCAUAUCAAUAAGCGGAGA